rnacentral:tRNA from 1 species
GGUGAGGUGGCUGAGUUAUAGGCGAUAAACUGUAAAUUUAUUCACAGGUGAUAAACCUUCUUACCA